rnacentral:rRNA from 1 species
CCCUUAGAUGUCCGGGGCUGCACGCGCGCUACACUGAAGGAAUCAGCGUGCUAAAACCAUUGUCGAAAGGUAUUGGUAAACCCAUUAAAAUCCUACGUGAUUGGGAUCGGGAAUUGCAAUUAUUUCCCUUGAACGAGGAAUUCCCAGUAAGUGUGGGUCAUAAGCUCGCGUUGAUUACGUCCCUGCCCUUUGUACACACCGCCCGUCGCUGCCCGGGACUGAGCCGUUUCGAGAAAAGCGGGGACUGCUGCUGUCGGGGCUUUCGGGCCUUGGCUUCGGUGGAAACCGCUUUAAUCGCAGUGGCUUGAACCGGGCAAAAGUCGUANCA